rnacentral:tRNA from 2 species
UUAACUGAAGCCAAAAAAGAGGCAUAUCACUGUUAAUGAUAAAAAUGAAUAUGUAAUUCCAGUUAAG